GAGGGAAGCCGGACGGCGGUUGCGAUGAGAACUCCGUCAGGUCCGAAAGGAAGCAGCGGUAUCGUUUGCUAUCGGGUGUCCGGUUUCCACUCAA
rnacentral:SRP_RNA from 1 species